AGCUAGUUGGUGGGGUAAAAGCCUACCAAGGCAGCGAUCAGUAGCUGGUCUGAGAGGAUGAGCAGCCACACUGGGACUGAGACACGGCCCAGACUCCUACGGGAGGCAGCAGUGGGGAAUUUUCCGCAAUGGGCGAAAGCCUGACGGAGCAAUACCGCGUGAGGGAGGAAGGCCUUUGGGUUGUAAACCUCUUUUCUCAGGGAAGAAGAACUGACGGUACCUGAGGAAUAAGCAUCGGCUAACUCCGUGCCAGCAGCCGCGGUAAUACGGAGGAUGCAAGCGUUAUCCGGAAUCAUUGGGCGUAAAGCGUCCGCAGGUGGUUUUUCAAGUCUGCUGUUAAAGACUGGAGCUCAACUCCGGAAAGGCAGUGGAAACUGAGAAACUAGAGUUCGGUAGGGGUAGCGGGAAUUCCCAGUGUAGCGGUGAAAUGCGUAGAUAUUGGGAAGAACAUCGGUGGCGAAGGCGCGCUACUGGACCGAAACUGACACUCAGGGACGAAAGCUAGGGGAGCGAAAGGGAUUAGAUACCCCUGUAGUCCUAGCUGUAAACGAUGGAAACUAGGUGUGGCUUGUAUCGACCCGAGCCGUGCCGUAGCUAACGCGUUAAGUUUCCCGCCUGGGGAGUACGCACGCAAGUGUGAAACUCAAAGGAAUUGACGGGGGCCCGCACAAGCGGUGGAGUAUGUGGUUUAAUUCGAUGCAACGCGAAGAACCUUACCAGGGCUUGACAUGUCGCGAAUCUCCUUGAAAGGGGAGAGUGCCUUCGGGAGCGCGAACACAGGUGGUGCAUGGCUGUCGUCAGCUCGUGUCGCGAGAUGUUGGGUUAAGUCCCGCAACGAGCGCAACCCUCGUCUUUAGUUGCCAGCAUUAAGGUGGGCACUUUAGAGAGACUGCCGGUGACAAACCGGAGGAAGGUGGGGAUGACGUCAAGUCAGCAUGCCCCUUACGCCCUGGGCUACACACGUACUACAAUGGUUGGGACAAAGGGCAGCGACCCCGCGAGGGAAAGCGAAUCUCAUCAAACCCAGCCUCAGUUCAGAUUGCAGGCUGCAACUCACCUGCAUGAAGGAGGAAUCGCUAGUAAUCGCAGGUCAGCAUACUGCGGUGAAUUCGUUCCCGGGCCUUGUACACACCGCCCGUCACACCAUGGAAGCUGGUCACGCCCGAAGUAGUUACCCUAACCUUUCGGGGGGGGGGACUCCUAAGGCAGGGCUAGUGACUGGGGUGAAGUCGAAACAAGGUAGCCGUACCGGAAGGUGUGGCUG
rnacentral:rRNA from 1 species